rnacentral:rRNA from 1 species
UACGUAUGGUGCAAGCGUUAUCCGGAAUUACUGGGUGUAAAGGGAGCGCAGGCGGGAAGCCAAGUCAGCUGUGAAAACUACGGGCUUAACUUGUAGACUGCAGUUGAAACUGGUUUUCUUGAGUGAAGUAGAGGUUGGCGGAAUUCCGAGUGUAGCGGUGAAAUGCGUAGAUAUUCGGAGGAACACCGGUGGCGAAGGCGGCCAACUGGGCUUUAACUGACGCUGAGGCUCGAAAGUGUGGGGAGCAAACAGG